rnacentral:tRNA from 1 species
GCUGGUUUGGUGUAGUGGUAUCAUGUAUGAUUCCCAAUCAUGGAGAUUCCCAUGAAGGAAUCCCAUUCAUGUGACACGGGUUCGAUUCCCGUAACCAGCA